rnacentral:piRNA from 1 species
UCCCAGUGCGUCUACAGGCCCGUCUCCUGC